rnacentral:rRNA from 1 species
UACGGAGGGUGCAAGCGUUAAUCGGAAUUACUGGGCGUAAAGCGCACGCAGGUGGCUGAGUCAGUCGAUUGUGAAAGCCCUGGGCUUAACCUGGGAAUUGCAGUCGAUACUACUCAGCUAGAGUAUGGGAGAGGGCAGUGGAAUUCCCGGUGUAGCGGUGAAAUGCGUAGAUAUCGGGAGGAACAUCAGUGGCGAAGGCGGCUGCCUGGCCCAAUACUGACACUCAGGUGCGACAGCGUGGGGAGCGAACAGG